rnacentral:rRNA from 1 species
AUUGAACGCUGGCGGCAGGCCUAACACAUGCAAGUCGAGCGGAUGAAGGGAGCUUGCUCCUGGAUUCAGCGGCGGACGGGUGAGUAAUGCCUAGGAAUCUGCCUGGUAGUGGGGGAUAACGUCCGGAAACGGGCGCUAAUACCGCAUACGUCCUGAGGGAGAAAGUGGGGGAUCUUCGGACCUCACGCUCUCAGAUGAGCCUAGGUCGGAUUAGCUAGUUGGUGGGGUAAAGGCCUACCAAGGCGACGAUCCGUAACUGGUCUGAGAGGAUGAUCAGUCACACUGGAACUGAGACACGGUCCAGACUCCUACGGGAGGCAGCAGUGGGGAAUAUUGGACAAUGGGCGAAAGCAUGAUCCAGCCAUGCCGCGUGUGUGAAGAAGGUCUUCGGAUUGUAAAGCACUUUAAGUUGGGAGGAAGGGCAGUAAGUUAAUACCUUGCUGUUUUGACGUUACCAACAGAAUAAGCACCGGCUAACUUCGUG